rnacentral:lncRNA from 1 species
UACGAGGAUGUUGUGGUCUUGGCAGUUUGGCACAGUUGGAAGGUUUGAGACAAGUUCCUGUUAUUUUGCAAGGUUUCAGAUCAUGUACCUAAUAAGAGCAAGGCAAUUCCAUGAUGCCAUCUGCCGAAUUUGUUGCUGAGAAGCAGUUGCUGUUAGUCGAGCAUUGUCUGACAAAGGAACCCGCUUCUCAGCACAAGUGAAUCAAUAAGCUGAAGCCCAUGGAAUCUGUUACCAUGUACCUCAUCUCUCAGAAGUCACUGCCUCUAGAACGGUAGAAAGUGCUCUGAAACUUCAUUAUGGUACCUCCUGGGAUUCACUGCUUUGAGAAGGCUUCCCAGACCUUCUGCUGCCCCCUCUCAGUGAUCCCCUCUCCAGGACACAAGGGACACAGCCGCCCAGACCCCACUCUGUCACCCCCAUCCUCUGCCAGUCACCUCCUGCUACCCUGCACUGCCCUUUGCCUGUUGGAGACUACCAAGGUGC